UGAAUCAUGUGAUAUUAUAGCUUGAAUUCUGCUAACUUUUUAAAACUGAUAUGUUGGGAUUAUGAAGUACCUGGUGUUGGCACCAUUUGCGUGUCACAGCAUAUACACAUUCUUCAUGAGCAGAGAUGAAAGUCAGAGGGACAUGUUCUACAUACUUGUACUUCCAUUUACUCUCUCCAGAAUGAUUCAUUAUCAGCUAUGGAUAUCCAUAUCCCGCUACAGGACUGCAAAGGGUAAUAAUCGAAUUAUUGAUAAAAGCAUCGAAUUUGAUCAAGUUGACAGAGAAAGCAACUGGUAUGUUCCUUCAUUCUUCACCCACUACAUAUUGUUUUGGUGAAUAUGUAUGAUUACAUCUUAAAUUUUUUAGUGUAAAAAAGAAGAUAUUUACACUAACUUAAAUCCUGGAUUUCCUCUAUCUAAAAGUUAUUUGAGAGUUUUUUUUGGUCAUUAAGUAAGCUUUACCUUACAGAAUUUACCUGUACUUGUUAGGUUUUUGAACUGUAUAUACAAGGGAUGUAAUAAAACGAAAAGAUUAAAUUGUACAUGGCAUGAUUGAUUUAAGAUGAAUUGUUUUGUAGGGAUGAUCAGAUCAUACUUUUUGGGUUGGUAUAUUAUAUCGGAUACCUGAUUGUAGAACAAGCUCAUCAUAUGCCUGUGUGGAGGACUGAUGGAAUCAUAAUAACUGCCUUGAUCCAUAUUGGUCCUGUCGAGUUCCUCUAUUACUGGUUUCACAGAGCUCUGCAUCAUCAUUUUCUCUACUCUCGCUACCAUUCCCAUCACCACUCCUCCAUUGCUACUGAGCCCAUCACUGGUAAUUUGUCUUCAAAAUUGUUUUCCAUCACUCUGAUCAAGUAAUUAAGAGUUAGAAUGAUCAAUCCUGGAGAAAAGGCACAACAAUUUUGGGAUCACCAGGAAAAUAUUUUGUUUCGUAGCGCACACACUCAGUAACAAAAUGUCAAAUCUAAUAAAGGAUAUGGGAAUGAAGUACUUUGUAGAUUGGCUUUCUCUAAGUUUAAUGGAUGAAAAUUGGUUCGAAAAGUCUUGAGGUUCUCCCUAUGUCUCAUAUUAAUUAUCAUCAAGGUUACUAAAACUACUUGUGAUUUUACAAAACCAAAAUGAAAUUAAUUAUUUUUAUCCCAUUUUACCCUUAAUGUCAAGUGUUCUUGAAAAUAACCAAUAAGUAUUAAUAAGAGUACAAUUUAUUGGAUAGAGAUAAGGGUUUCAAUGUAUAGAUAUAUACUUUUUAUUUAUGAUUUCCUUAAGGGAAGUGCAAAAGGGAAAUCUGAAUAACUAAUAUGGUACAAGUCUUUUAGGGAAGUUUCUUUCUAACUUGACCCUUCAUGGCGUAUUGUGUAUAAGUCUCUUGUUAUUAAACUAGUUUAGCUUGUUUGAAGAUAUCUUCUAUCUGACCUAACCCUUCAUAUUGAAUCAUUUAAGCUCUGAUAUACAAAUAUUUGUAAGUCAGUCACUUUCCAUAGCACUUCAAUUCAUUUGUGUCAUCAUUAAAUAAAUUUAGAGAGAUAGCAUAACCUACAGGGGAUAGUGCAAUUUUACCAACCAAUUACCACUUGUAUGGUUUAAGUAAUUUACAUUAUUUUGGCAGCUGUUAUUCAUCCAUUUGCUGAGCUACUAGCAUAUUAUAUGCUCUUUGCCAUACCCGUGUUCACAACUGUAUUCACUGGGACUGUUUCAAUGGCUUCACUUGGUGCUUAUACCAUCUAUCUUGAUUUCAUGAACCUGAUGGGCCAUUGCAACUUUGAGCUAAUUCCUAAGUGGACGUUCUCUAUCUUUCCCCCGCUCAAGUACUUGAUGUAUACUCCCUCGUGAGUCUUCUUGCCCUGUAUAUUUUUUAUGAGUUUAAGUAACACUAUUUUAUACAACAAUGUCUCUAAUUAAGUAAUUAUAAGUAAAUUAAUCUUCUGAAAGAUCUCAAACUUGAUUUAGUUAUUUAGAUAUAGAUUCAAGAACACUUCAUGUUUGUGCAUAUCUAAAAGGCAGUACAGUGGACUGAUUAAGGUUACCAGAGAGAUGCAAAAUUGUACUUAGGUAUAUAUUGUCUGAUGCAAUAUCGAUAUGCAAAAAACAAAAGAUAAAGGAUAGAAGAAUGACACAAGAUGGAUAAGAGUUGAGAAUAAUGGUUACAUGACAACCGAUACCCCCAGUUACAAGACUCCAAAAGCACCAAUUCUAUAGAAAGCAUGACACAAGAAUGAGACUAAUAGGCAACAAUGGCUAUUAAAGCCAAAACCUCCUAUUAAGAACACCAAACAAGCACCUAUACUAUAGAGACACCCUCACGCCUCAAGAGGAAUGAUCCUCAAGCAAGUAAUCUCAUCAACAUUUCAAUCAACAAUGACCUUAGUCCGAACUACCUCAAGAGUAUCUCUAUUCAAAAUCAAUCUACGUCUAAAUGAGCUAUUCUCACCUAUUUAUAGUCUAGGCUAGCUAUUACAUAAAAGGUCCAAAAGUGGCACUUCAAAUAAUUGCAAAAACAAUCAAAAUCAGACUCCAUGUAGUAUGCGACGUAGCUUGUGGCGUCGCAUCUACCAUUUGCGGUCGCAUCCAUCUCCGCAUCUCGAAAACAAUGAGUCUUGAAGUUUUAGACUGAAUGCAACUCGGGUUGCAGUCACAACCUCUCACUUGCGGUUUAAGCUUAGCAUUUCACAUUGCAAGUGAGUCCUUUCUCCCUGCUCCAAGUAUUCCUCCAAGUUAGAGACAGGAUAGUUUUAUCAAAUUUAACUUCUGCUUCCAACUUUAGUUACUCAGGGAAAUAGAUAGAAACAAGAGAAAUUAUUGUCUCUUGUCAACUGUACUUUUCCUAGUCUAUAGGUUGGGCAGGUUAGUAAUAACAUGAAGCUCUGUAUUUGUGGUUGAUUAUUCUUUUGACACUAAUAUCAAUAUUUUGAUGGCACAGGUACCACUCACUACAUCACACUCAGUUUAGAACAAAUUAUUCACUUUUUAUGCCAAUGUAUGACUAUCUGAAUGGUACAGUGGAUAAGUCAUCAGACACGUUGUAUGAAAAGUCACUCGAGAGAGAAGCUGAAGUGCCUGAUGUGGUGCACCUUACGCAUCUAACAACCCUAGAAUCCAUCUACCAUCUUCGACUAGGGUUUGCAUCACUGGCCUCAAAGCCUCACGCCUCUAAGUGGUAUUUGUUGCUAAUGUGGCCCGUCACACUAUGUUCAAUAGUGCUUACAUGGAUUUACGGUCACACAUUUGUUGUUGAGAGAAAUUUGUUCAAGAAUCUCAAAUUACAAACCUGGGCUAUCCCGAAGUAUCGCAUACAAGUAAUUAAGUUAUAUUAUUAAAGAUUAUAGUUACAUUUUGCAGGUCUGUUGUUAAAGUGAUUAUUAAUAUAUCCUGAUUCUUUGUUUUGUUGCAGUACUUUAUGCAAUGGGAAAGAGAGAGUAUUAACUAUUUGAUCGAGGAAGCCAUCAUUGAAGCAGAUCAGAAAGGCAUAAAAGUGUUGAGCCUUGGACUCUUAAAUCAGGCAAGUCAAAAUAUGUGUUAAAAGCGUAAUACCACCCAUCCUUACUUUAUCUAUGAAAAAAAUGCAUGAUCUGUUCUUAACUGGUAAUUAUCUUGCAACCUUAUUGCAAAAUGUUUUGUACACAAUCAAAAGAUAUUGUUAUUAUGGAGAAAAAGAUUUUAAAAAAGAAGUCACCCCUCACCCUAUAUCAAUGUUUGUAGGCUGAACCAAUUAAAGAAGGUCAACUCAUACUUAUGCUUUAUUUCAAAUGUACUUUCCAGGAAGAGCAACUGAAUAGUCAUGGUGAAUUUUACGUAAAGAGGUAUCCACACCUGAAAGUGAAGGUGGUAGAUGGAAGUAGCUUAGCUGUAGCCGUGGUCCUAAACUCCAUUCCUGAAGGAACUUCCCAAGUUGUCCUUCGAGGUAGCUUGUCCAAAGUUGCUAACUCCAUUGCCCUUGCCUUGUGCCAAGGAGAAAUUCAGGUAUAUUUAACUAUUAAUCUCCUACAUCAUUUUUGGUUUUAUCUCAUUCAACAUAAUUUCUAUAUAUAGGUUGUCACGUUAAACAGAGACGAUUACAAGAGACUUAAAGCAAAGCUUACCCCCCAGGCUGCAACUAAUAUGGUCCUCUCGAAUUCUUAUAAUGUUUCAAAGGUAUAAACCAAAAAUAAAUUGAAAUAUACUGAUCUAAAUCUUGACCAUUUAUAACAUUUCCUUGCACCUCCCCCUCCCUCCUAGAUCUCCUAACCCAAAGUUUUUAUCAUUACGUGAGGUUUGAACAAUUCUGGUUUUUUUAAAAGAGGCUCUUGAUUGAAAUAUUAUAUUGCAGACAUGGCUAGUAGGGGAUGGAUUGAGUGAUGACGAGCAAUUGAAAGCACCAAAAGGAACACUAUUUAUUCCCUUUUCACAAUUUCCACUAAGAAAAGUUCGCAAGGACUGCUUCUAUUUCAACACACCAGCCAUGAUUGCUCCAAAGCAUCUUGAAAAUGUAGACUCUUGUGAGGUUAGAAAAGAUCAUUUAAUGUUAUUAAUUUCUCUAUACUAAUUUGACGGUUUUUUAAAAUUAAAGAAAUUCAUGAGUGAUUUUCUUUUAAUUCUAGAAUUGGCUACCAAGAAGAGUGAUGAGUGCGUGGAGAGUAGCUGGAAUUGUGCAUGCAUUGGAAGGUUGGAAUGAGCAUGAUUGUGGUGAGAUGAUGAUUGAUGUUGAAAAAGUGUGGAAAGCUAGUCUCAGUCAUGGUUUUUGCUCAUUAACCAAGACUUCUGCUGCUUAAUCAAAGGGCUAAAAUUAUACUACUAUUAUAGAUAGACUGCUGCUUAAAUUAUUGAAUCUUGGAUCUAUGGUACCAUUUCGUUGGGUAAACGAAAAGUAUGCACAAUAUUAGCCUCUACUAGAACAUGUAAUAGGUAGCAAACCCAUUAAUAUAAAGGUUUGAGGUAUGGAUCUCAUUAAGAAUUGGCUAUAAGAACACCUACCCCAUUGAGCUACCCUUGGCCAAACCUCUCCUUCCCCGGUCCAUGCUCCCAAGCCUACCCCUACCGACGUUGUGACAAUUGGUUACAUUAAUGAGCUACUAGCAUAAUCGAAAAUCAACCUAAAACAUUGACUGUGUUGUACUUACUGUUCUAUUGAAUUUCGAAUUAAAUUCAUAACAAAACCAAUGCCAAUAUAUCCAAAACGAAAUAAAAUGAAGAGAACAGAAACAAAUAAACCAAAUCACACAGAAUUUCAAGAGCAAAACACAUUUGUAUACAAAAUGCAGCGAGGAAAAAAAUCGGAGAGGCCAAAAAGAAGCUUAAGUUGGCGAAGCUUACCAGAGAUGGGAGAAAACGGGUAAAUUUGCACGGAACCAGACGGCCUAACACAGAGAAGAGCGACAAAGGAUCAACAAAAAAUUGAGGAAGAGGAUUGAAACUGGAGAACACGAAUGCAAUUUUCUAUGGUGAUGCAGGGAAAAAUAGCAAUUUGGGUCCUUGAUUUAUUAUCUUAUUCCUAUUUUAG
rnacentral:lncRNA from 1 species